UACGAAGGGGGGCUAGCGUUGUUCGGAAUUACUGGGCGUAAAGCGCACGUAGGCGGAUGUUUAAGUUAGGGGUGAAAUCCCAGGGCUCAACCCUGGAACUGCCUCUAAUACUGGGCAUCUAGAGUCCGAGAGAGGUGAGUGGAAUUCCGAGUGUAGAGGUGAAAUUCGUAGAUAUUCGGAGGAACACCAGUGGCGAAGGCGGCUCACUGGGCUCGGUACUGACGCUGAGACGCGAAAGCGUGGGGAGCAAACAGG
rnacentral:rRNA from 1 species